UCCUAUUUUCAUGUCUGGGAAUAUUGGAAUACUGUCAUACGACUGAAUGAGAACCCCUUAACAAGUCUUCAGUCAUUAUGUCAGCCCCUCUUUUGUCUAUAUAUCUACCAUGAGCUAUCGAUGUAGGGCCGCAUGAAAGUAGACACUUUAUCAUAACAUAGAUGCCUUUUUUUUUUUGUGGGGAAAAUCUGGGAGGAGUGUCAAAACCUCUCUAAUACAUUCAUAGAAACUGAUAGACCGUAAUUUGGUUUAUGAAGAUUAGGUAUUUAGCCAAGUGAAUACCUAUAGAUUAGUUAUUAGCACAUCAAAAUACUUCAAAUUUCACCAUCUUUUAAGGGAAAAAAGAUAAUAUUUAAACAACAUAUUAUGCAUGCAGC
rnacentral:lncRNA from 1 species